GAUGAACGCUGGCGGCGUGCCUAAUACAUGCAAGUCGAGCGAACAGACGAGGAGCUUGCUCCUCUGACGUUAGCGGCGGACGUGUGAGUAACACGUGGAUAACCUACCUAUAAGACUGGGAUAACUUCGGGAAACCGGAGCUAAUACCGGAUAAUAUAUUGAACCGCAUGGUUCAAUAGUGAAAGACGGUUUUGCUGUCACUUAUAGAUGGAUCCGCGCCGCAUUAGCUAGUUGGUAAGGUAACGGCUUACCAAGGCAACGAUGCGUAGCCGACCUGAGAGGGUGACCAGCCACACUGGAACUGAGACACGGUCCAGACUCCUACGGGAGGCAGCAGUAGGGAAUCUUCCGCAAUGGGCGAAAGCCUGACGGAGCAACGCCGCGUGAGUGAUGAAGGUCUUCGGAUCGUAAAACUCUGUUAUUAGGAAAGAACAAAUGUGUAAGAAACUAUGCACGUCUUGACGGUACCUAAUCAGAAAGCCACGGCUAACUACGUG
rnacentral:rRNA from 1 species